GGGCCUAUAGCUCAAUCGGUUAGAGCGCGGGACUCAUAAUCCCUCGGUUCCAGGUUCGAGUCCUGGUGGGCCCA
rnacentral:tRNA from 1 species